rnacentral:rRNA from 1 species
AUUGAACGCUGGCGGCAGGCCUAACACAUGCAAGUCGAGCGGAUGAAGGGAGCUUGCUCCUGGAUUCAGCGGCGGACGGGUGAGUAAUGCCUAGGAAUCUGCCUGGUAGUGGGGGAUAACGUCCGGAAACGGGCGCUAAUACCGCAUACGUCCUGAGGGAGAAAGAGGGGGAGCUUCGGACCUCACGCGAUCAGAUGAGCCUAGGUCGGAUUAGCUAGUUGGUGGGGUAAAGGCCUACCAAGGCGACGAUCCGUAACUGGUCUGAGAGGCUGGUCAGUCACACUGGAACUGAGACACGGUCCAGACUCCUACGGGAGGCCGCAGUGGGGUAUAUUGGGCAGUGGGCGAAAGCCUGAUCCAGCCAUGCCGCGUGUGUGAAGAAGGUCUUCGGAUUGUAAAGCACUUUUAGUUGGGAGGAAGGGCAGUAAGUUAAUACCUUGCUGUUUUGACGUUACCAACAGAAUAAGCACCGGCUAACUUCGUG